AAGUCGUAACAAGGUCUCCGUUGGUGAACCAGCGGAGGGAUCAUUACAGAGUUACUACUCCAAACCCAUUGUGAACCUUACCUAUGUUCUGUUGCCUCGGCGGCGCGGUCAGCGCCCGAAAGGACGACGGCCCCCGCCGGCAGCACCAAACUCUUGAAUUUUACAGCGGAUUACAGUUCUGAUUUGAAACAAAAAAAAAACAAGUUAAAACUUUCAACAACGGAUCUCUUGGUUCUG
rnacentral:misc_RNA from 1 species